ACGGGUGAGGAACACGUAGGAACCUACCUAGAAGAGGGGGAUAACCAAGGGAAACUUUGGCUAAUACCGCGUAAUCUCGGAAGAGGAAAGCUGCCGCAAGGUGGCGCUUUUAGAGGGGCCUGCGUCCGAUUAGCUAGUUGGUAGGGUAAAAGCCUACCAAGGCGAUGAUCGGUAACUGGUCUGAGAGGACGACCAGUCACACUGGGACUGAGACACGGCCCAGACUCCUACGGGAGGCAGCAGUGGGGAAUAUUGGACAAUGGGGGCAACCCUGAUCCAGCGAUGCCGCGUGGGUGAAGAAGGCCUUCGGGUUGUAAAGCCCUUUAGGUUGGGAAGAAGGGUAUUAGGGGAUAAUCCUAGUACUUUGACGGUACCGACAGAAUAAGCACCGGCAAACUCUGUGCCAGCAGCCGCGGUAAUACAGAGGGUGCAAGCGUUAAUCGGAGUUACUGGGCGUAAAGGGCGCGUAGGCGGUUAUAUGUGUGCAAUGUGAAAGCCCCGGGCUUAACCUGGGAAGUGCAAGGCAAACUGUAUAACUGGAGUAUAUGAGAGGGUGGCGGAAUUUCCGGUGUAGCGG
rnacentral:rRNA from 1 species